UUUUAUGGAGAGUUUGAUCCUGGCUCAGGAUGAACGCUGGCGGCGUGCCUAAUACAUGCAAGUCGAGCGAACGGACGAGAAGCUUGCUUCUCUGAUGUUAGCGGCGGACGGGUGAGUAACACGUGGAUAACCUACCUAUAAGACUGGGAUAACUUCGGGAAACCGGAGCUAAUACCGGAUAAUAUUUUGAACCGCAUGGUUCAAAAGUGAAAGACGGUCUUGCUGUCACUUAUAGAUGGAUCCGCGCUGCAUUAGCUAGUUGGUAAGGUAACGGCUUACCAAGGCAACGAUGCAUAGCCGACCUGAGAGGGUGAUCGGCCACACUGGAACUGAGACACGGUCCAGACUCCUACGGGAGGCAGCAGUAGGGAAUCUUCCGCAAUGGGCGAAAGCCUGACGGAGCAACGCCGCGUGAGUGAUGAAGGUCUUCGGAUCGUAAAACUCUGUUAUUAGGGAAGAACAUAUGUGUAAGUAACUGUGCACAUCUUGACGGUACCUAAUCAGAAAGCCACGGCUAACUACGUGCCAGCAGCCGCGGUAAUACGUAGGUGGCAAGCGUUAUCCGGAAUUAUUGGGCGUAAAGCGCGCGUAGGCGGUUUUUUAAGUCUGAUGUGAAAGCCCACGGCUCAACCGUGGAGGGUCAUUGGAAACUGGAAAACUUGAGUGCAGAAGAGGAAAGUGGAAUUCCAUGUGUAGCGGUGAAAUGCGCAGAGAUAUGGAGGAACACCAGUGGCGAAGGCGACUUUCUGGUCUGUAACUGACGCUGAUGUGCGAAAGCGUGGGGAUCAAACAGGAUUAGAUACCCUGGUAGUCCACGCCGUAAACGAUGAGUGCUAAGUGUUAGGGGGUUUCCGCCCCUUAGUGCUGCAGCUAACGCAUUAAGCACUCCGCCUGGGGAGUACGACCGCAAGGUUGAAACUCAAAGGAAUUGACGGGGACCCGCACAAGCGGUGGAGCAUGUGGUUUAAUUCGAAGCAACGCGAAGAACCUUACCAAAUCUUGACAUCCUUUGACAACUCUAGAGAUAGAGCCUUCCUCUUCGGGGGACAAAGUGACAGGUGGUGCAUGGUUGUCGUCAGCUCGUGUCGUGAGAUGUUGGGUUAAGUCCCGCAACGAGCGCAACCCUUAAGCUUAGUUGCCAUCAUUAAGUUGGGCACUCUAAGUUGACUGCCGGUGACAAACCGGAGGAAGGUGGGGAUGACGUCAAAUCAUCAUGCCCCUUAUGAUUUGGGCUACACACGUGCUACAAUGGACAAUACAAAGGGCAGCGAAACCGCGAGGUCAAGCAAAUCCCAUAAAGUUGUUCUCAGUUCGGAUUGUAGUCUGCAACUCGACUACAUGAAGCUGGAAUCGCUAGUAAUCGUAGAUCAGCAUGCUACGGUGAAUACGUUCCCGGGUCUUGUACACACCGCCCGUCACACCACGAGAGUUUGUAACACCCGAAGCCGGUGGAGUAACCUUUUAGGAGCUAGCCGUCGAAGGUGGGACAAAUGAUUGGGGUGAAGUCGUAACAAGGUAGCCGUAUCGGAAGGUGCGGCUGGAUCACCUCCUUUCU
rnacentral:rRNA from 3 species